UUCAGGUUUUUGUAGCGAGUGGUCCUGGCAUAUACAGGAAGCCAGUGGUGGGAAUGUGGACCCAUUUGUGUGAGAAGGCUAAUGAAAGCAUUCCUGUUGACAAGGCACAGAGUUUCUAUGUUGGGGACGCUGCAGGAAGGCCAGAAAACUGGGCUCCUGGGAAAAAGAAGAAGGAUUUCUCCUGUAGCGACAGAUGU